CAAGGAUUCCCCUAGUAGCGGCGAGCGAAGCGGGAAGAGCUCAAAUUUAUAAUCUGGCACCUUCGGUGUCCGAGUUGUAAUCUCUAGAAAUGUUUUCCGCGUUGGACCGCACACAAGUCUGUUGGAAUACAGCGGCAUAGUGGUGAGACCCCCGUAUAUGGUGCGGACGCCCAGCGCUUUGUGAUACAUUUUCGAAGAGUCGAGUUGUUUGGGAAUGCAGCUCAAAUUGGGUGGUAAAUUCCAUCUAAAGCUAAAUAUUGGCGAGAGACCGAUAGCGAACAAGUACCGUGAGGGAAAGAUGAAAAGCACUUUGGAAAGAGAGUUAACAGUACGUGAAAUUGUUGGAAGGGAAACGCUUGAAGUCAGACUUGCUUGCCGAGCAAUCGGUUUGCAGGCCAGCAUCAGUUUUCCGGGAUGGAUAAUGGUAGAGAGAAGGUAGCAGUUUCGGCUGUGUUAUAGCUCUCUGCUGGAUACAUCUUGGGGGACUGAGGAACGCAGUGUGCCUUUGGCGGGGGUUUCGACCUCUUCACACUUAG
rnacentral:rRNA from 1 species